AAGAGUUACAUCCUAAAAGGAGUGUGAAAACUACCACCACAUGUAGGAAAGAGCUACCACCCCGGUCGUCCGGCAAGUGUGUGAAGCUACCACAUGAAGACUGAAUUGAUUAAUCGAAAAAGGUUAAAAAAAAAAAUUGAAUAUUUUAGAAUUUUCGGAGUUAUAAGGUGUUAGUUUGAAAAAAAAAGAAUGCUCAAAGAGCCACCCCAGGUAUCAUAUUAGUUAAAUCUCUAUUUUGAACAGAUUGCGACAAAUUGGUGUCAAUUUUGCCGAAUUUCUAAAAAAUUAUUUUUCGUAAACCGUUGCAUCUUGAUGAUUUUGAAACUUUAGAUCAUUUUUUAUAAUGAAAUUUUGAUGUUU
rnacentral:lncRNA from 1 species